GGAAACAGUACGCUUCUCGGGAGGCAGCACGGGGUAGUGGGGAAGGAAUCUGGGCUUUGGAGAAGCCUUCCUGAGCUUGAUUCCCAACUUUGCUGCUGACUUACAAGCUGUAUGGUCUUGGCCAAGCUACUCAAUCUCUCUGUUACAUAGUUUCCUGACCUACAGUAUACGUAGAUUGGCAAUGGCCACAAAUAUCUUGUAGCUCUUUUCUUUGAGAGGUGGAGCCUAUUUCCCCAACCCUUGAAUCUGGACUGCCUUGUGGCUGAUUUUGCCCAAUAGAAUAAAGCAGGGGUAUUGUAUGAGUCCCAAGUCUAGGCUCUGAUAAAUUUAGAAGCUUCCACUCCUUCUGUUGGAAUUCUGCCACCAUGUGAACAGCCCAGGCUGGCCUACAAGGAUGAGAGGCUAUGCGAGGAAGGGAUGAGUGGUUCCAGCUGAGGGUCCCUAAUACAGUAGCCUGCCAACCACUAGACUUGUGAAGGCACUGUAGGUUGACUUGUGAGGUCAACCAGUCCCCAACAACUCACCAGGAGACGGAAAGCCAGAGGAUCAGAAGGACUGCCCAGCUGACCUACAGAACUAAAGCAUUCCUGAUUGACGUGGGAAUUGAGCAUCUGUGGCCUAGAUCCCAUAUGCUACCUUUUCUUCCUGGGGCAAACGUGAAAUGUUGAACGAGGUAGCUGUUGGAGCAUGCAUUGAAACACUCUUCUGCCAGUUUAAUGAGAUAAAUCUAUUGAUUGGCUGCCAAAAGUGUGACCUGGUGACAAAGCUUGCAAAGAGGAUUACAGAACCUCCCAUCAGCCUUGAGAAGGGCUGCUGCCAAGUACCAAGUUGGCUCAGUUCCCAGCCUGACUGCCUGUAUUACUCCUUGCAGGAAGAGGACUGUGUAUACAUCUUAGAUGCUUGAUAUUAACCAAAAUGAAUUAUUAAAUAAAAUUUUCUACCUACAGUCCUACGCAGUUCUCUCUGGGACUCACCUCUGAUUUUUUUGAAAUUCGGUUUGAUUUAUAAACUAGUCCACAACACAUUUCAGAUGUUGUAAGAAUUAAUUGCUGUUCCGUUGCUGAUUUUCAUAAUAUGUAAAGAUGUUUAUAAGCACAAUCUAAUUCUCCAACCUCUUUAAGCUCUUUAUAAAGUCCAUGUAAGUGUUUCAAACUUAAGUUGUAGGCAUGACAGAAACCAGUGGCAGCUUUUCUAGUAAUUAAUGGAGAUGCUUGUUUUUCAUAGUUGAUAUAAACUUAAGCUAAUCAAGGAGCACUUUUUCUAACACCCUGACAACCAGGAUUUAAAAUAAUUCAUGGUAUGUAAAUUUGUUUUUUGUUGUUUUUUGUUGUUUUUGUUUUUUUUGUUUUUUUGAGACUAGAUUUUGCUCUGUCACUGAGACUGGAGUGCAGUGGUGUAAUGAUAGCUCACUGCAGCCCAGUGAUCCUCCCAGGCUCAAGUGAUCCUCCUGCCUUUGUGUCCCAAGUAGCUGGGACCACAGGUGUGCACCACCACGUCCGGCUAUUUUUUGUAGAGAUGGAGUUUUGCCAUAUUUCCCAGGCUGGUCUUGAACUCCUGGGCUCAAGCAAUUCUCCCUCUUCGGUCUCCCAAAGUUUUGGAAUUAUAGAUGUGAGCCAUGGUACCUGGCCAUGGUAUGUAACUUUAUAAUACAAUUGACCUAAGGUUGAAUGAUGAUAUUCCUUCUGAAUUGAUUGGACUGAUACAUAAGAAAUAUGUAAGUAAACUGUUGAACGAAUCCCUAUAUAUUCUGAUUUCAAUAAUUUGCCUCUUUGUGAUUGAGCUGGUAUUGCCUGAAGACUAAAAGAGUAUUCUCUAAGUAUGGCAUGUAACACCGUCAAAUUCAGCUCCAAAUUAUUAACACCUUUGGCAGGUACAACUAAAGCUUCAUUCGGAUGUUUCUGAGAUUCAUUAGAAAGAGGAUUCCCGCCCCCACCCCCCACCCCGAGAUGGAGUCUUGUUCUGUCACCCAGGUUGGAGUACACUGGCACAAUCUCAGCUCACUGCAACCUCUGCCUCCCUGGGUUCAAGCAAUUCUCCUGCCUCAGCCUCCCGAGUAGCUGGGAUUACAGGCGUGCGCCACCACGCCUGGCUAAUUUUUGUAUUUUAAGUAGAGACAGGGUUUCAACACGUUGGCCAGGCUGGUCUCAAACUCCUGACCUUGUGAUCUGCCUGCCUCGGUCCCCCAAAAUGCUGGGAUUACAGGUGUAAGCCACCAUGCCCAGCCCUAGAAAGGAUAAUUCUUAAGGUGCUUAAUCUUGGUUGCACAUUAAAAUCCCCUGAAGUGCUUUGGAAAAUGCUAGUGUCCAGGCACCAUCUCAAAUCAACUAGACUCUUGGGAGGAGAGCCCAGACAUCAAUUACAAAAAGAAAAAAAAGUUCCCCAGGUGAUUCUAGGAGCAGCCAGGGUUGAGAACCAGUGAUUCAAACCUUCCAACAAAGAGCCGACGAUGAAUCAGAUCCCUCCCCAAAUAAUCCCUCUCCUUCCCCUCUACCAUCUACACUCUCCACACAUGACCAUCAAAGGAACUCUCUGAGGAAAUGAGAAAUGUCUGGCCCUGAGCCUCCCAAGUAAUAUAGCUGCUGGAAGCACAGGAGCCAGUCCUCGGGAUGCCUGGGAGAUGAGCUUAUCUGGGGCAGGGGUGGGUUGCACUAUUAGCACACAGGUUCUUUGUUCUCCAAUCCACGGAUGAAGCUCAAGUUCAUUUAGCACCAUUGCCAGAGGUAACCUCCAUACCCAUCUUUGCCUGCCUUUUCCUUUCUCCCAAGCCAGCCUUUCCUACCCUUUACUGUGUGCAAAAAGUCUAGCCCUGUAACUACUAAAGAUUCCUAUGCCAACCAGCCCAACCGUGAUCACUCCCACUCCCACCAUGGUUGUUGACAUGAAUGUAAUAGGAUUGAACCCUUGUCAUUCCCAUAUCAUCCCUCUUUCCUUUCCUUUUAGGGCACAUUUUAAUGAAUGAAUUGAGCUUAUUUCUGAAUAAGAGAAGCAGGAGGAGGUGAAACAGUGAUUCUUGUGUUCAGUGAGCUGGGAAAGUAGUUGAACCCUACAGAUGGUGACUGAGUUACUGGGAACACAGAGGCUGAUCUGACAGCUGGAUAUUAUGUAUCAUUUCCCAAGACUCCUGCCCUCACUGCCCAAGUUGCUUUUCCAACAGUGUGGAGACCUUUGUCCCAAGGCACUUGUCCUCAUUUACAGAACUCACAGGAGGUUAAGGUGAUGAUUAUCAGCCUGGUAUCAUGCUCCACAGUCUUCACCUUUUCCCUUAACCCUGGAGGUAAUUAGUGUUUGAUCUACACAUCAUGUGGGUGGUAGCUUAUUCUUCUGUUCUGUCCUUAAGUAAACUUCUGCCGGUCCUUGAUUUCUGGGUUGAUCAUGUUCCAAGAAUCACUACAGAGCAGGUGCUGAGCAGUCAGAUGACAGCUGUUGAUCUGUUGCAAGUGAGCAAUUAGAGACUGCAGGAGAAUGCCACGCUACACAGUUUACAUUGAGUAUUCAGAAAACCAAAUAUUUGAGUGCCCACUUUGUGGCAAACACUGAAUGUGUACCCACACAUACACACACAUACACAAACACACAUACACAGAGGAUGUCUGUCCUUAGGUACAAUUGAAUGACCUCUUAAGUGAAUUGGACCUUUUCCUCUUUAUUUAUCUAUCUCUUCAUUGACUAAUUCGUCUCAUCAUUUUUAAAUAGUAGUUGGGGAGGA
rnacentral:lncRNA from 1 species